UAUUGUCUGGAGAGUGCGGGAAGAUAUUCAUAUACUCGAAUUUCAUAUUAUCAAUUCAUUUACAGGUUGCGUUGGAAUAUAAACAGAUGGCCCUGAGUGUAGGAUGUAGCAUCUACCUAGCUAUAUAAAUAUAAAAUUCUAAAGAAGAAGUGACGUCAUUUUUUGAGGAGGUAUGAGAAGAAAUUUUCGGCUUAGAAAAAGUUCCAUAACUCAGUGCUUAUCCAACAAAUAGAAGUCAAUUUGAUAUCAACAAAAUUCCAAACUCAUUAUACAUCGCAAGAACCAAUUCAAAGUCCUUGAUUCCGUUAUUUUUGUAACCUACCUAUGCUUGUUUGAGAAGUUAAUUAUGAACCCAAAAUGUUUCAUCUAUCAUCGGACGAAAUGGCAUAAGGAUCACAUUAACCAUCCAUGCGGUAUUUAAACAGCUGACUCAUAAUCUACUACUGCAGCGACAUCAUCGAAAACUUUGUCACUAUAAAUUCUUAAGGAAAAACCUCUCAAAGUAAUUUGACAAUUUUAUUGUGGCGCCCUCUAGGUUUGUAACCUGCCUUAACAUUAUCAUCAUAUUGGUUACGAUUUCAAUACCAAUUCCAUGACGUCAUGCCCCUCGUAAAUCAUAAUAAUUCUUUUACAUGCUUUGAAGAUACAUAUUGAAGGUGUUCAUAAGAAGGAAAGAAAAUUCAAAUGUAGUUACUGUUUUAAUUCUUUUACACAAUCUGGAAGCUUGAAAGUUUUCAUGAGAAAAUUAACAAAUUCCAAUGUAUUUGGUUAAUGCCUCUUCAAUUCUCCAGAGUGUAAAAAAGAAAAAGAGCAGUGACUACAUUGGUAUUUUUGUUUAUCUUCUCAUGAAUGCCUUCAAUAUGUUUCUUCAAGUUUCCAGAGCUUGUAAAAGAACUAGAGCAAUAACUUCUAGUUACUGCUCUAGUUCUUCUACACGUUCUGGAAACUUGAAGACGCAUAUUGAAGGCGCUCAAGAAAAGAUAAAAAAAUGUCAUUGUAGUCACAGCUCUAGUUCUUUUACAAGCUUUGGAGAUUUGAAGAGGUAUAUUGGAGGUGUUCAUGAGAAGAUACAAAAAUACAAAUGAAGUCACUACUCUAGUUCUUUUACAAUCUCUGGAAACUUGAAGAAGCAUACUAAAGUUGUUCAUGAGAAGAUGUAAAAAUACCAAUGUAGUGACUGAUCCAGUUCUUUUACACAAAAA
rnacentral:lncRNA from 1 species